AAAAUAAAUUAUGCAAAAGCUAGAACUCAUAGAAUAUAAUUUCUUAUACAUCUAUGAGCGUAGAUAUUUUGCUAUAGUAAUAUUG